rnacentral:rRNA from 1 species
AACAAACGCUGGCGGCGUGCCUAACACAUGCAAGUCGUACGAGAAAGUUGGCUUCGGCCGAUGAGUAAAGUGGCGCACGGGUGAGUAACGCGUGGAUAAUCUACCCCUCAGUUGGGAAUAACGUACCGAAAGGUGCGCUAAUACCGAAUGACACUGCACAUCUUCUGUUGUGUAGUCAAAGAUGGCCUCUGCUUGCAAGCUUUCGCUGAAGGAUGAGUCCGCGUACCAUUAGCUAGUUGGUAGGGUAAUGGCCUACCAAGGCAACGAUGGUUAGCUGGUCUGAGAGGAUGAUCAGCCACACUGGAACUGAGACACGGUCCAGACUCCUACGGGAGGCAGCAGUGAGGAAUAUUGCGCAAUGGGGGCAACCCUGACGCAGCAACGCCGCGUGAGUGAGGAAGGUUUUCGGACCGUAAAGCUCUGUCGAGCGGGAAGAAAUGCACGAUGGCUAAUAUCCAUCAUGCUUGACGGUACCGCUAAAGGAAGCACCGGCUAACUCCGUGCCAGCAGCCGCAGUAACAC